rnacentral:rRNA from 1 species
CAAUAGCGUAUAUUAAAGUUGUUGCAGUUAAAAAGCUCGUAGUUGGAUUUCGGGGCAGCCUGGCUGGUCCGCCGCAAGGCGAGCACUGGUCAGCCGCCCUUCCUCUCGAAAGCCCCGACUGCUCUUUAUUGCAGUGGUCGGGUAGUUCGGGACGUUUACUUUGAAAAAAUUAGAGUGUUCAAGGCAGGCCUACGCCUGAAUACAUUAGCAUGGAAUAAUGGAAGAGGACCUCGGUCCUAUUUUGUUGGUUUCCAGGACCGAAGUAAUGAUUAAGAGGGACAGUUGGGGGCAUUCGUAUUUAAUUGUCAGAGGUGAAAUUCUCGGAUUUAUGAAAGAUGAACAACUGCGAAAGCAUUUGCCAAGGAUGUUUUCAUUAA